rnacentral:misc_RNA from 1 species
AAAAAAACCCAAAAUAAAGCAGGUUCAAAAAAUGAAAGGGAAAAUAUCUGGCGAAAUUUUCUGGGAAAAAGGCAUAUGGCCUCUCAAAUUGAAAAAAACAAAAUGAAUUCCCUAUCAGAAAAAGCAUUCACCAUAAUUCAGACUGGAGUGAUCAGUGAUGUAGAUUUAAAAUCCGUAACCUGUCAAUCUAACCAUGUAACUCUGUCAUGAAUCUA